ensembl:lncRNA
CAGGUUUAUGGGUGGUGUGGGUCAUUCAGGUUUAUGGGUGGUGUGGGUCAUUCAGGUUUAUGGGAGGUGUGGGUCAUUCAGGUUUAUGGGAGGUGUGGGUCAUUCAGGUUUAUGGGUGGUGUGGGUCAUUCAGGUUUAUGGGUGGUGUGGGUCAUUCAGGUUUAUGGGUGGUGUGGGUCAUUCAGGUUUAUGGGUGGUGUGGGUCAUUCAGGUUUAUGGGUGGUGUGGGUCAUUCAGGUUUAUGGGUGGUGUGGGUCAUUCAGGUUUAUGUACAUAUACAGUUGAAGUCGGAAGUUUACAUCCACUUAGGACAGAAGUUAUUAAGCUCAUUUUUCAACCACUCCACCGAUUUCAUGUUAACAAACUAUUAUUUUGAGCCCGGACCUGAAUCCAAUUGAACAUCUGUGGGGUGAUCUGAAGAGGGGUGUGCACAGGAGAUGUCCUCGCAAUCUGACAGAUUUUGAGCGCUUUUAUAAAGAAGUGAGCAAAUAUUGCCUCGUCAAGAUGUGCCAUGCUAAUAGACUCCUACCCAAAAAGUCUGUAAUAAAAUCAAAAGGUGCUUCAAUAAAGUAUUAGUUUAAAGGUGUGCACAGUAAUGCAACCAGGUUAUUGUGAUUUAUUUAUUUAUUUUCUCAAAGAUUUGUUUGUUUUUCAAUUUAAUUGUUCAUGUUAUAGGUCACAUUAAAGGUGGAAAAAGUUCUGACAUGAUUUAUCUGUCUCAUUCUUUUACAUCACAAGAACCUGGCAUUUUAAAAGGGGUGUGUAGACUUUUUAUAUCCACUGUAUUUGUCCCAAAACUUUUGGUGUCCUGAAAUAACAGGAACAGGAUAACAGGAAAUGUUUUCUAAAUUAGUUUCUAAAUUGGGAAACCAUUAUGAAUACAUGCCCUCAAGUAGAAGCUAAGAAUCUACAUAUACCAUAACCUCAAAACAAUUGUUUGAUUACAAAUCCAAACUUUAAAAAAUAGAGCCAAAAGUUGAGAACUAAAUUGUCCCAAUAAAUACGCAGGGCACUGUUGAUUGUGAGCCAAGAGGGAGAACAUUUGUUAUUGCUGUACUGCACUGUGCUGUGACAGCACUGUGCUGCUUAAAAAAUGCUUCCACAUCCUGUAGAUAAGUUCCCACUACACUGUAGAGAUGGCCUUCAUUUAAAGUAAGGGGACAUGCGCGGGUAAUAUUAGGGUAGCAUUUUGUGUUGACACUCUCAAGUUUCUCCCUGUGGACGUGUUGCUUUCUGACACUCCGAAAUCUCUCUACAGGUGCCAUUGCAGCCGCGGUGUUCAUUGGGUUCAUACUGGCUCUCUACACAGUCCUGUGGAAGUGCAUGGUCUCACCACCUCAAAGACUGAGGAAGAGAGUGAGGGUUUGAGAGUAGAGGAGUCAAGCCAAGGCUUAACCCUUAAGAUCUCAUCUGCGAUAUCUGUCCAGAGGAUUUCUAUUCAAACUCAAGCACAUCUAAACCUCUCGUGUCAAAUGGAACCUGAAGAAUGUACACACAUUGACCUCCCAUCAAUAUGUUCCUGGCUGUCAGAGAGGGAUGGCAGAUCCUGUGAUCAAAGCUUGAUGGAAUGGACUCUAAAAAUCCUCUUUUAAUAAAGCAUCCUGUCAGUGAUUCUCCAUGAUCCAUGGAAGUCACUGUAUGACACUGUACUUUGGGAGACUUGAUCCUGAUAUGAACAGAGGCGUAGCCACACUGUUAAGCAUACACCUAUGUGCAGGUCACAGUUUUUCUGUCUAUGCUGGGAGCUUCGUACUACUGAAGGAAGAGGCAUCAUCAUCAUUGGUCAAAAAGCCUGCUGGCAACCAUAUGGAGUCUCAGGAAACAUUCCUUAUACAUCCCCAGAACAAUAAUGGAAAGGGGAACUUUAUUCAAUAUUCCCUUUUCAGUCAAGCAACUGAUUUUAUUUGUUUAGAUUUUGCUGUGCAAGAAUACCUUGUUUCUAAUCAUUUGGAUGUGUUUUUCUGAACUGGGUGAAGGUGUGUUGAACUGAGCAUCAGGGUUGAUUCAAAAAACAAACAAACAAGGAAAUGUGAUAUGAAAUGUUUUUAGAUUCCAUGCCACAUUAACUGAAUAUUGUACUAUAUUUUAGUGUAUAUUAGGUAUGUUUUAAUAUUUGUAUGUUAAUGUGUUAACAUUUUUGAGUAAAAUUCUAAGAUUUGCAUUCAAGGCCAA